GUCGGGAUGGCCCAGCGGUCUAAGGCGCUGCGUUCAGGUCGCAGUCUCCCCUGGAGGCGUGGGUUCGAAUCCCACUCCUGACA
rnacentral:tRNA from 2 species